rnacentral:tRNA from 1 species
UAGAAUUUAUUAAAGAAAAAUAUAUAUAUUUAGAAGUAAUAUUUUUAAAAUUAAAUUACUUUUUAACUUAU